ACUCAGUAGGACCUGCUUAUUGGGAACAGAGACAUAGUGAAAUAUAGCACAAUUCAUCAGACAAUGUCAAAGCACUUUACACUGAUGGGGCCGCUGACAAGUGCUGGGACGGCUCUUGUGAUUAAAGUCCUGCAGAUUUUAUCCAGAGAAGAGGUACCGCCUGCCCCGCAUUGCCCUGGCAAUGUGCUUCACCCUUGUUCUGGAGGGCCACCCAUAGAGGUGAGAAGGAACUGCAGAUUCCACGGGCCAUUUAGGGAGCAAUAACAACAGGGUCUGAGCUUAAGUCAGACAUAAUGAGAUAAUCAUGGUUAAUAUACAUGGCAUUGUAACCCAGGGCCUGGUCUGAGAGCGACAGAACUGUGAGUCCACCUGGAGCCAAGUGAUGGUUGAAGACCCAAGAAAAGGUGCACUAGACAAGACCAGGAGGGGUUGCAGAUGCAGUUUGUCUAGUGACUGUGACAGCUCCAUUGUUUUAAUGUCAGACAGAACAAAGCCCUGAAUAAGACACUAUCAGGCACUGGUAGGUCAGUGCAUGACAGUAAAUAACUUAAUAGCACUAUCCAUCUCUGUUGUCUGUGGUUCUUUCUAAGCUGAGCUUAACUGGAACAGAUGGACGUUCCCUAGAAGGCCAGAGCCCCUUCUGGCUGGCAGGGGCAUAUACGACUGACCAUAGUGAUGAGCACCAGGUAAAAAUAAGAAAAAGUAAGGCAUCUGUCCCAGCUUGUGCCUGUUUAGCUAUUUUUUACUUGGACCGUACUACAAUGUUAAAUCCUGCUAAAAGCUAGGUCUGAGCGGCUAUCUGAACUGGCUUUUUAUAGUAAAUCUGUAAGUUAAACACGCAGUUUGCAGAAGUACAACCAGUAAGAACCUUUUCUUUAAAAACUGACCCACAACUUGCCAGAGGAAAAACUCCAUAUUCCCUCCCUUGCUUUGUGGUGGCCUGUCUCUUAUUUUCUGAAAACUAGAAAAUUUUUAAAAGCCUUAAAAAAAAAAUUAGGAGUGAUUGAAAACUGCUACCAUGUAAUGCCUGUCUGAUGGGAUCCAUGGGAAAGCAGACAGUGACUCUUGGUCCAGCUUCUAGUGGACACAUGUUUACCAUAAAGCCAUCUCAGCAGAGAGAUCAAGGAGUGAAUGGGGAAUGAACCCCCCUUCACCCUUAGAAACUAGUUUCUCCAUAAAAGGGGUGAGGGCCCAUCGUGGGACAGUGUCAGAGGUCCAGCUAACUUGCCUUCCUGCUUCCUGGGCAGUAGCUGUGAAGAAGGGUGUAACUCUAGGGCACUAACUCUGAUACCGCUAAGAGUCCAUGACAUUUGCUUUAAUACAUUUGUGUGGGGAGGGGAGGGAUUUGGAUUGUGCACAUACUUGAGAUAAUUGCCUUUAGCAGUCACCAGAGUGAAGUACUAAAAUUCAAAAACUGUGAAGUACCAAAUGGUUUGAUGGUUUCUUUACCUAAA